rnacentral:rRNA from 1 species
CCGCUGAAUUUAAGCAUAUCAGUAAGUGGAGGAAAAGAAACUAACAAGGAUUACCUUAGUAGUGGCGAAUGAACAGGUAAAAGCUCAAAAUGAAAAUCUCAAUGAGAAUUGUAAUCUAUAGAUUUUUUGCAGAAAGCAAAGUGAACGCAGAAGUCCUUGAAAAGGGACAGCAGAGAGGGUGAUACUCCCGUACUCGGCGUGAGCUAGCAAUAUGCAAGAGGUCAAAGAGUCGCGUUGCUUGGGAUUGCAGCGCUAAAUGGGAGAUAAACUUCUUCUAAAGCUAAAUAUUUAUGGGAAACCGAUAGCGAACAAGUACUGUGAAGGAAAGAUGAAAAGAACUUUGAAAAGAGGGUUAAAAGACUUGAAAUCGUUGAAAAGGAAGCGGAUGGAGAGAUAAAUUGGCGGCUAAUUUAGCAGUCAAAAGACAAAUUGAGGUCUUAUUGUAGGAAUCAGUGAGUGGGAAGAUUUCCUGUUUACAAAGCUACAAUGAGGCCUGAGGGAGCGAUGCUGAAUUUGUCGAAAAAGCUUCAUCUGACCCGUCUUGAAACAGGGACCAAGG